ensembl:snRNA U1 U1 spliceosomal RNA
UGACUUAAAUAAACGCCUAAAAAUGAUCAAAAAAUUGGUUCACCCAUAGCGAGGCUCAGCCAUUGCACUGAGGCUGUUGCUGACCCGUGCGAAUUCCCCAAAUGUGGGAAUCUCGAUUGCAUAAUUUCUGGUAGUGGGGGACUGCGUUCGCGCUCUCCCCUG